UGACAAAACUCUGGAAAGCAUUAUGCACCGAAGGAGUAAAACUCUCAGGUUAAUAAACAGAGAUGAAAGU
rfam:Clostridium sp. IEH 97212 scaffold_41, whole genome shotgun sequence.